rnacentral:rRNA from 1 species
UGCGUAGGCGGCAUGGCAAGUUGGGUGUGAAAUCCCUCGACUCAACCGAGGAAUUGCGCCCAAAACUGCAAUGCUUGAGGGAGACAGAGGUGAGUGGAACUACGGGUGGAGCGGUGAAAUGCGUUGAUAUCCGUAGAAACACCGGUGGCGAAAGCGGCUCACUGGGUCUCUUCUGACGCUGAGGCACGAAAGCUAGGGUAGCGAACG